rnacentral:rRNA from 1 species
AGGACAGUGGAACUCCAUGUGUAGCGGUGAAAUGCGUAGAUAUAUGGAAGAACACCAGUGGCGAAGGCGGCUGUCUGGUCUGUAACUGACGCUGAGGCUCGAAAGUAUGGGUAGCAAACAGGAUUAUAUACCCUGGUAGUCCAUACCGUAAACGAUGAAUGCUAAGUGUUGGAGGGUUUCCCCCUUCAGUGCUGCAGCUAACGCAUUAAGCAUUCCGCCCGGGGAGUACGGCCGCAAGGCUGAAACUCAAAGGAAUUGACGGGGGCCCGCACAAGCGGUGGAGCAUGUGGUUUAAUUCGAAGCUACGCGAAGAACCUUACCAGGUCUUGACAUACUAUGCAAAUCUAAGAGAUUAGACGUUCCCUUCGGGGACAUGGAUACAGGUGGUGCAUGGUUGUCGUCAGCUCGUGUCGUGAGAUGUUGGGUUAAGUCCCGCAACGAGCGCAACCCUUAUUAUCAGUUGCCAGCAUUAAGUUGGGCACUCUGGUGAGACUGCCGGUGACAAACCGGAGGAAGGUGGGGAUGACGUCAAAUCAUCAUGCCCCUUAUGACCUGGGCUACACACGUGCUACAAUGGAUGGUACAACGAGUUGCGAACUCGCGAGAGUAAGCUAAUCUCUUAAAGCCAUUCUCAGUUCGGAUUGUAGGCUGCAACUCGCCUACAUGAAGUCGGAAUCGCUAGUAAUCGCGGAUCAGCAUGCCGCGGUGAAUACGUUCCCGGGCCUUGUACACACCGCCCGUCACACCAUGAGAGUUUGUAACACCCAAAGUCGGUGGGGUAACCUUUAGGAACCAGCCGCCUAAGGUGGGACAGAUGAUUAGGGUGAAGUCGUAACAAGGUAACCAAGGGCGAA